GAUGAAGAACGUAGCGAAAUGCGAUAAGUAAUGUGAAUUGCAGAAUUCCGUGAAUCAUCGAAUCUUUGAACGCACAUUGCGCCCGCCAGUAUUCUGGCGGGCAUGCCUGUCCGAGCGUCAUUUCAACCAUCAAGCCCCGGGCUUGUGUUGGGGACCUGCGUCCGACGCAGGCCCUGAAAACCAGUGGUGGGCUCGCUGUCCACACCGAGCGUAGUAACUAACCUCGCUAUGGAGUGGCGCGGGCGCCUGCCGUAAAACCCCCAAUUUUUACAAGGUUGACCUCGGAUCAGGUAGGAAUACCCGCUGAACUUAAGCAUAUCAAUAAGCGGAGGA
rnacentral:misc_RNA from 1 species